rnacentral:rRNA from 1 species
GGGUUGUGAGGUUAAGCGACUAAGCGUACACGGUGGAUGCCCUGGCAGUCAGAGGCGAUGAAGGACGUGCUAAUCUGCGAAAAGCGCCGGCGAGGUGAUAUGAACCUUUGACCCGGCGAUGUCCGAAUGGGGAAACCCAGUGCAAUCCGUUGCACUAUCGUUAACUGAAUACAUAGGUUAACGAGGCGAACCGGGGGAACUGAAACAUCUAAGUACCCCGAGGAAAAGAAAUCAACCGAGAUUCCCCCAGUAGCGGCGAGCGAACGGGGAGCAGCCCGGAGUCUGAAUCAGCUUGUGUGUUAGUGGAACGGUCUGGAAAGUCCGACGGUACAGGGUGAUAGUCCCGUACACGAAAGCACACUUGCUGUGAACUCGAAGAGUAGGGCGGGACACGUGGUAUCCUGUCUGAAUAUGGGGGGACCAUCCUCCAAGGCUAAAUACUCCUGACUGACCGAUAGUGAACCAGUACCGUGAGGGAAAGGCGAAAAGAACCCCGGCGAGGGGAGUGAAAAAGAACCUGAAACCGUGUACGUACAAGCAGUGGGAGCCUCUUUAUGGGGUGACUGCGUACCUUUUGUAUAAUGGGUCAGCGACUUAUAUUCUGUAGCAAGGUUAACCGUAUAGGGGAGCCGAAGGGAAACCGAGUCUUAACUGGGCGUUAAGUUGCAGGGUAUAGACCCGAAACCCGGUGAUCUAGCCAUGGGCAGGUUGAAGGUUGGGUAACACUAACUGGAGGACCGAACCGACUAAUGUUGAAAAAUUAGCGGAUGACCUGUGGCUGGGGGUGAAAGGCCAAUCAAACCGGGAGAUAGCUGGUUCUCCCCGAAAGCUAUUUAGGUAGCGCCUCGUGAACUCAUCUUCGGGGGUAGAGCACUGUUUCGGCUAGGGGGCCAUCCCGGCUUACCAACCCGAUGCAAACUACGAAUACCGAAGAAUGUUAUCACGGGAGACACACGGCGGGUGCUAACGUCCGUCGUGAAGAGGGAAACAACCCAGACCGCCAGCUAAGGUCCCAAAGUCAUGGUUAAGUGGGAAACGAUGUGGGAAGGCACAGACAGCCAGGAUGUUGGCUUAGAAGCAGCCAUCAUUUAAAGAAAGCGUAAUAGCUCACUGGUCGAGUCGGCCUGCGCGGAAGAUGUAACGGGGCUAAACCAUGCACCGAAGCUGCGGCAGCGACGCUUAUGCGUUGUUGGGUAGGGGAGCGUUCUGUAAGCCGUUGAAGGUGUCCUGUGAGGGGUGCUGGAGGUAUCAGAAGUGCGAAUGCUGACAUAAGUAACGAUAAAGCGGGUGAAAAGCCCGCUCGCCGGAAGACCAAGGGUUCCUGUCCAACGUUAAUCGGGGCAGGGUGAGUCGACCCCUAAGGCGAGGCCGAAAGGCGUAGUCGAUGGGAAACAGGUUAAUAUUCCUGUACUUGGUGUUACUGCGAAGGGGGGACGGAGAAGGCUAUGUCAGCCGGGCGACGGUUGUCCCGGUUUAAGCAUGUAGGCGGAGGUUCCAGGUAAAUCCGGUACCUUGUUAACGCUGAGGUGUGAUGACGAGGCACUACGGUGCUGAAGUGAUAAAUGCCCUGCUUCCAGGAAAAGCCUCUAAGCAUCAGGUAACACGAAAUCGUACCCCAAACCGACACAGGUGGUCAGGUAGAGAAUACCAAGGCGCUUGAGAGAACUCGGGUGAAGGAACUAGGCAAAAUGGUGCCGUAACUUCGGGAGAAGGCACGCUGAUGUGUAGGUGAAGUCCCUGCGGACGGAGCUGAAAUCAGUCGAAGAUACCAGCUGGCUGCAACUGUUUAUUAAAAACACAGCACUGUGCAAACACGAAAGUGGACGUAUACGGUGUGACGCCUGCCCGGUGCCGGAAGGUUAAUUGAUGGGGUUAGCGGCAACGCGAAGCUCUUGAUCGAAGCCCCGGUAAACGGCGGCCGUAACUAUAACGGUCCUAAGGUAGCGAAAUUCCUUGUCGGGUAAGUUCCGACCUGCACGAAUGGCGUAAUGAUGGCCAGGCUGUCUCCACCCGAGACUCAGUGAAAUUGAACUCGCUGUGAAGAUGCAGUGUACCCGCGGCAAGACGGAAAGACCCCGUGAACCUUUACUAUAGCUUGACACUGAACACUGGUCCUUGAUGUGUAGGAUAGGUGGGAGGCUUUGAAGCGUGGACGCCAGUCUGCGUGGAGCCAACCUUGAAAUACCACCCUUUAAUGGCUGGUGUUCUAACGUAGACCCGUAAUCCGGGUUGCGGACAGUGUCUGGUGGGUAGUUUGACUGGGGCGGUCUCCUCCCAAAGAGUAACGGAGGAGCACGAAGGUUGGCUAAUCCUGGUCGGACAUCAGGAGGUUAGUGCAAUGGCAUAAGCCAGCUUGACUGCGAGCGUGACGGCGCGAGCAGGUGCGAAAGCAGGUCAUAGUGAUCCGGUGGUUCUGAAUGGAAGGGCCAUCGCUCAACGGAUAAAAGGUACUCCGGGGAUAACAGGCUGAUACCGCCCAAGAGUUCAUAUCGACGGCGGUGUUUGGCACCUCGAUGUCGGCUCAUCACAUCCUGGGGCUGAAGUAGGUCCCAAGGGUAUGGCUGUUCGCCAUUUAAAGUGGUACGCGAGCUGGGUUUAGAACGUCGUGAGACAGUUCGGUCCCUAUCUGCCGUGGGCGCUGGAGAAUUGAGGGGGGCUGCUCCUAGUACGAGAGGACCGGAGUGGACGCAUCACUGGUGUUCGGGUUGUCAUGCCAAUGGCACUGCCCGGUAGCUAAAUGCGGAAGAGAUAAGUGCUGAAAGCAUCUAAGCACGAAACUUGCCCCGAGAUGAGUUCUCCCUGAGACUUUAAGUCUCCUGAAGGAACGUUGAAGACGACGACGUUGAUAGGUCGGGUGUGUAAGCGCAGCGAUGCGUUGAGCUAACCGAUACUAAUGAACCGUGAGGCUUAACCUUACAACGCCGAAGCUGUU